UACGGAGGGUGCAAGCGUUAUUCGGAAUUAUUGGGCGUAAAGGGCGCGUAGGCGGCCUGUUAAGUCAAAUGUGAAAGCCCGAGGCUUAACCUCGGAAGUGCAUAUGAUACUGGCAGGCUUGAGUAUGGGAGAGGGAAGUGGAAUUCCUGGUGUAGCGGUGAAAUGCGUGGAUAUCAGGAGGAACAUCAAUGGCGAAGGCAACUUACUGGACAUUUACUGACGCUCAGACACGAAGGCUAGGGGAGCGAAAGGG
rnacentral:rRNA from 1 species